CCUACGGGGGGCAGCAGUGGGGAAUAUUGCACAAUGGGGGAAACCCUGAUGCAGCGACGCCGCGUGAGCGAUGAAGUAUUUCGGUAUGUAAAGCUCUAUCAGCAGGGAAGAAAAUGAUGGUACCUGACUAAGAAGCCCCGGCUAACUACGUGCCAGCAGCCGCGGUAAUACGUAGGGGGCAAGCGUUAUCCGGAUUUACUGGGUGUAAAGGGAGCGUAGACGGUGCUGCAAGCCUGAUGUGAAAGGCCGGGGCUCAACCCCGGGACUGCAUUUGAAACUGUGGGGCUAGAGUGUAGGAGAGGCAGGCGGAAUUCCUAGUGUAGCGGUGAAAUGCGUAGAUAUUAGGAGGAACACCAGUGGCGAAGGCGGCCUACUGGACGAUGACUGACGUUGAGGCUCGAAAGCGUGGGGAGCAAACAGGAUUAGAUACCCUGGUAGUC
rnacentral:rRNA from 1 species